GCGCCACUUUCUGCGUUUUCUCCACGUUGCGCUUCUCUUCAACAACUUCCUCCUGAAACCGAAAGCAAAGUUUUCCACCGUUUCUUCUGCUCGGUUCGUCGGUGCCUCGAGUGAGCAGACAUGUCGGUUAAAAAGCUGCUGCUUGAGGUUCUGGAAAAUUUGGUUCAAGACGACUUCAAACGCUUUAAGUUGCACCUCACUGAGGUCGGCGUUGAAGGCUUCGAACCGAUUUAUAAGAGCCGCCUGGAGAACGCGGACCGAACAGACACCGUGGGAACGAUUGUAAAGAGCUACGGCGAACAAGUGGCCGUGAAGAUCACUGUGGAGGUUCUGAAGCUCAUUGGCAACUGUGACGCUGCAGAGAAGUUAAGGAACGAAUACAAAGCAGGGGGAGGGGAAGCGUCAUCCUCUG